rnacentral:rRNA from 1 species
GAUGAACGCUGGCGGCGUGCCUAAUACAUGCAAGUCGAGCGGACGGACGAGAAGCUUGCUUCUCUGAUGUUAGCGGCGGACGGGUGAGUAACACGUGGAUCACCUACCUAUAAUACUGGGAUCACUUCGGGAAACCGGAGCUAAUACCGGAUGAUAUUUUGCACCGCAUGGUUCAAAAGAGAAAGACGGUCUUGCUGUCUCUUCUAGAUGCAUCCGGGCUGGAUUAGCUAGUUGGUAAGGUAAUGGCCUACCAAGGCAACGAUGCAUAUCCGACCGGAGGGAGGGAUCGGCCACACGAGAGCGUAGACGCGGUCCAGGCUACUGAGAGAGGGCGCAGUAGGGAAUGGGCGGCAGUGGGCGAGAGCCUUGCGGAGUGAGGGGGCGUGUGUGAUGGAGAUCCUCGGAGCGUAAAACUCUGUUAUGGGUGAAGAACAGAUGUGUAAGGAAAUGAGCACAGCGUGACGGUACUUAAUCAGAAAGCCACGGCUAACUACGUG